UUUUUUAUUAAUCUGUUAUUGACUAUUAUUUUGUUGUUGAUUUUUAGUUUAAGUGAGGUUGGAUCUUGAUGUUUGAUUAUUUUGCGCUUCAUUUGAAAUUCAGAUGAAAUUGCGUGAGUUUGUUUGUUGAGAGUAUAGUAUGUGCUUGAAAUUUGGAGUAAGUUUUGUAAAUAUUGAUUAGAUUUUUGUGACUGCUGUUGUUGCGGGAGCAGUUGUGGCUCACUCCAUGCUGCAGUUUCUAAUUAGUGUGUCGAGGUUGUGAAAGAAAGCUAUUAUCAUUCCCACUCAGAACUAUGCGUGGGUAAUCUAUGCUGGUAAUCAGAUCUGGCUUUGAACUCUUGUGUGAGCUGUAUAAGCUGCAUCGCGUGACAAGUCUUAUGCUGUGUUAAAGGUGGCUUUUUUGCAUCAUGUACACAACUAUGCUCUCACUACGUAUGGCCCUGCUGCUCUUGGUGUUGCUGGUGCGGCUGUAGUUCAUGCAGUAGAGUUACUUCCAGGUAUUGAAGUGGGAAGAUGUAGGAGCAUGCAGAAACGUAGAAAAGCCAAAGAAGGGUGAAAUCUGUGUGAAAAAUAAAGUAAUUGAGCUUCAUUUUGUUGAUUUUUUACUUCAGCAAGGGAGUUUAUAAGGUUCCAAUAUUAAAUGUCUUAUACUCCAGGAUUCAAAUAAGCAUUAAUGAUAAAAGUGGAAUAUGCUUGUUGACGUGGACUAUUGCAUAGCAAAAGCAAUCAUGCUUGGGAAAAAGGCACAAGAUGGUAAAAUUAUCUAAACGAUGGAGAAGAAAGCAGCACAAUGAAGAUGGAGAAGAUAAAACUGUCAAAAAAAGUUUUGUAAGUAGUUGAAGCUGAGAGGCCGCUAUCAGAAUGGAGCCUAGAAAACAGAAUGCCUGAAUUGAUCAUAUGAGUGUGCUGUGCAUACAUCAUGGCAAGACUUAAUGGGACAGAACACUCAAUGAUUUAAUUUAGAUAUUUUUGUCUUAGUUUAAUUAGUGACAUGUAGUUUUGUAAUUUUCCCUAAGGGUAACAAUGUACAAAUCCUCAGUUUAUAUUAAUAAAAUUUUGAUUUAAU